rnacentral:rRNA from 1 species
UGCAGUGGGGAAUAUUGGACAAUGGGGGCAACCCUGAUCCAGCCAUGCCGCGUGUGUGAAGAAGGCCUUUUGGUUGUAAAGCACUUUAAGCAGUGAAGAAGACUCCAUGGUUAAUACCCAUGGACGAUGACAUUAGCUGCAGAAUAAGCACCGGCUAACUCUGUGCCAGCAGCCGCGGUAAUACAGAGGGUGCAAGCGUUAAUCGGAAUUACUGGGCGUAAAGCGAGCGUAGGUGGCUUGAUAAGUCAGAUGUGAAAGCCCCGGGCUUAACCUGGGAACGGCAUCUGAUACUGUUAGGCUAGAGUAGGUGAGAGGAAGGUAGAAUUCCAGGUGUAGCGGUGAAAUGCGUAGAGAUCUGGAGGAAUACCGAUGGCGAAGGCAGCCUUCUGGCAUCAUACUGACACUGAGGUUCGAAAGCGUGGGUAGCAAACAGGAUUAGAUCCCCCCA